GCCGGGGAAGCGUGAGGGCGGAGUCGCGGCUUCCGGAGCCCCGCGGGGCCCUCCUCGGCGGGGCCGCGGCGGCUCUGAGGGCUGGUUCUCUCGGGGGACUCGCGGGCCUCGUGCGGCUGGCCCGCCGGUCACCGCCCGGGCGGCGCAGGAGCGAGGAGGGGAGCUCGAGGCUUCCAGGCCGCGCCGCCUCAGCCUGGCGUGUCUUCCCGGACGGCGUCCUGCGUAGGCCAGCCUCCAGCUGUCAGCACUGAGAUGAUUUGCCUGCCAUUUUUCGCUUUUAUUGGCCACCAGAACCUGCUCUGCCUGCAUUUGGGGAAGAUCUAAAGUGCCAGGAAAUUUGUACCUCAUAAGAGUGCCUGCAAACUGCAGGCAAUGAGUAGAGGAGACGACUAGUGCUCAGAAAAGUUAGGCAGCUCACCCGCAGUCACAUAGCAGCUGAGAUGAGCCGUCCAAGCCUGCUUGGUUCGCAUGACGUUUUAUGGAAACACUCCUCCCAAUGUUUAUGUAAAGUAACUUGAUUAAAUCAAAUGGACUUAAAGAAAUAGAAAAAAUGAUUGGAUGAAGACCGUAUGGCAUGCCAGAGACAGGAAAGGUGAGUCUGCCUUCACAGAGACACGUUCAAAGCCACCAGGGGGCGGCGUGCACCAGGACAACCGGCAAGGAUCACCUUUUUCCUUAAUUUUCAUUAACUGCUCCAAGGUCUGACAGCUCAUACUGUCAGUUAAUGGACUCCCCACGGAGCGGAUGCCUUUGAAUUAGAGAUCCUUCAACGCUGAGAACAAUAUGAAAGUGGUUUUCUUCUGCCCCACGACUUCUGAGGUUUUAUUUAUUUACUUAGCUUUGCAGUGCUUAGCCCCCUUUAUGAAUGUAAUGAUCUUGUUGCUAAGUGCCUGUCUACACGUAAGCGGUUGGUAUGAAAAGCCAUCGCCGUAUCAGCAUAUGGUACAUUCAGACCUUGGGAAGGUACGUUCUCUGUUUCAGAAGCUGGGUACCCCUUAUUCUUGAAGAACUGGGGUUUUUGAAAAUCACUUGGAAUUGUUACUACUGCGAUCCAUUAUUUUAACCCAUUAGUUAAUACCUUUGACGCCGAAGUUCAGAAUUUGACCCAUAUAUUAGGGGUAGGAUAAACUAAUGAAAACCAUUAGAUGUAACUUAAUUAAACAGAAUUUAAUACUAUUAUAGAAAUUAAUACUAUUAUAAGUCCAAGAUGGAUGUGAAUUCAUUCUGUAUAAUGUGGGUGAAAUAGAAAAUUAGGCUGGUUUAAUUGGUAAAUCUAAAAAAAUACACAAGAAGAAUAAAAUGCACACAACACACAAAGAUCAGGAGGAUAUGUCCUUUGAAAGAAACCCUAACCUCUUAGAAUGUCUUUCACUUAUAUGUGCCUUUAUGCAUAUACCAACCUCUUUUUGCUUUUGACUUUUCCUGUACCACCGACUCUGAAACAGUGGUUCUCCCCUGGCGAUUCUGCUCACCCCAGGACAUCUGGGGACAUUUGGGUUGUUGGGGGAGAGGGCUCCCUGCUACUGGCACCCAGUGGGUGGAGGCCAGGGAAGCUGCUAACAUCCUUCAGUGCCUAGGACACCCCACAGCAAAGAAUUGUCAGGCUCCGAAUGUCGGUCAAACCGAUGUUGAGAAAUCAUGCUGUAGGACAACACCCUAAUUAUUAUCAAUGUGAUGUAGGUGCAAGUUACCAACUUUGUGGCCCACUUUUAGUAAGUGUUUUGGUCCAGUUUAAAUUCCUUUGCCUCCUAACACAAGGCCUCGUUCUUGCCUGCUGAAGCAACUGCCAGCUGUUCUUAGUAGCUUUGCAUUCAGAACCUACUGAAACUUUGCAACCCUGAAGCUAAAAGGAAAAAAACAGUUCUUUUUUAACAGCAAAAAUGUAUGUGUAACAAAUUAUUUCUAAAAUAGAAAAGUAUUCGUGCAUUCAUUUUAUCAUAGGAAAUUUUAAAGAAAGUUUUAGUUCUUUAAGAAAGGCCACGUGAAGGUGCUAUGAAAGCCUUAGCCCAAAGAUCUACAUCCUCUGUGACUUUGGCAAGUCCAUUUCCAGGACUUAAUAGCUUACAGCAUAUUAAGUGUUGGAUGUCUCUGUUUCUGUUUUUUGUUGUUUUUUUUAAUGUACAGAAAGUGACAAGAAUAGUUCAAAGAACUAUUUACAUAAAUUUACAAUGGUCACCAUUUUAUUGUAUUAGCUGUAUCAUUGCCUAUCACCUAUCAGUGUAUAUCUGUAUAUCCAUCAGUUAAUCUAUCUUGAACCGUUUGAGAGUAAGUAGCAGACAUUAGGCCCAUUUACCCUCAAAUAAUUCACUGUGGUCUCCCUGAGAAAAAGACAGUUGCCCUACACAGUAGAGUGAUCAAAAUCAGGAAAUUAAACAUUGUUACAAUAUGACUGUCACGUGGCAUACUGGUGUACUGGGGGUGAAGGGGGGGCCUAAUUCCUAACACUUGCUAUUUCCAUGGUAAAUGGUUCACCAUGGCUGAUUUCAAGUUACCGACAGUUUAACACCCAGUUUGCAAAAUUCCUGAGUAGUUAGCAGUGAGCUCAGCCAGCUGGGUCCACCACCACUGGUACCUAAUCUCCCGUUCAUAGUCAAACUUUCAGCUUCUCCAAGCAUAUCCCUAGUAGCAGACAUCGUUCCGAGUUCAGGAGUCAGUCCACAGUCAUCACUGGUCCAGUCUUCCUAAUCUCCUGUAAUCUGGAGUGGCUCCGGCCUUUCUUGUCUGUCAUGGCAUUGCCGUCUUUAAAGAGCACAGGUUAGGUCUUCUGUAGGAUGUCAUUUGACCAGGGUCCAUCUGCCGUCUUCUCGUGAUUAGACUUAGAUUAUGCAUUUUGGGCAGGAAUACCAUAUGAGUGAUGUGUCCUCAGUUCGUCAGAUUAGAAGUACGUGGUGUCAGUUUGUCCCACUACCGGUGAUGCAGAUUUUGGUCACUUGGUGCAGUGGUCUGAAUGUGUGUGUCUUCCCCCCAGAUUCAAACAUUGCAAUCCUAACCUGCAACGUGAUGGUGUUGGGAAGUGGGCCUUAUAGGAGAGCUAAGAGAGCUUCUAGCUCUCUUCUCGCCCUGUGAGGGCAUGAGGAGAAGUUGGCAGUCUGCCACACGUGGAAGAGGGGCCUCCCCAGAUCCCAGCCACGAUGUCACCCUCUUCUUGGACGGACGUCCAGCCCCCAGAACAGUAAGAAAGUAAAAGUCUGUCAUUCAUAAGCCACCCAGUCUGUGGGGCUUUGUUACAGCAGCCUGAACUGACCAAGACUCUUGGCUAAGUGGUGUCUGUGAGGUUUCUCCAUUAUCAAAUUAUUGUUUUUCCCUUGUAACUAAUAAGCAUUUUAUGAGGUGACGUGGUGCAAAUAUCUUCUCCUUCAUUAAACCCUUCCUGACUAAUUUUAGCAUCUGGUAGCCAGCCUCCAAAAUGGCCCCAGGGAUCCCACCGCUGGCACGUAUGUCCUCCUACACUGAAUGGGGAGGACAUAGGUGUGCAACCAGUGGGAUGCUGGGGAAGUGGUGAGGUUUGACGCAGAAGGUUAGGUUCUGAAGGAGACCGCAAUCUCCUGACUUGCUCUCUGGGAUCACUGGCUCUAGAGAAGUCAGGCAGUCAUGCCUUCCCAAUAGGUGAGAACCAUAAUCUGAUAUUUCAAAAUAAAUUAAUGUGAAAAUUAAUAAAGGGAAACUCACAAAAAUAGAGUGGGGUAGCCAGAAGGGGGAGCUCUCAUGUGGGUACCACUCAAGGUCAAUACAGACUCCAACAAGAAGAGAUGUAUCUUUCCUCUCCCUCAGGAAUUGAUGCUACUUUACUAUCACCAGCAGGAGGGAGAAAGAUUUUUAUCCUUGCCUGGCAACAGCUCAGCCAAUGAGAGACUGUCACAUCUCAGCCAGUGAACAGCCACUAUACUUUAAUUUCCUCCAAGGGACUUUUUGUUUAUUACAGCCUCCAACUUCCCCUUCUCCUCUAGAAAAGAGUUUUCUCUCCUUUGCUUUACUGGGCUUGCAUGUGGUUCACCAUAGUGGCCUGUCCCAAAUAGCAAUUCUUUGCUGCUCCUGAAUAAACCUAUUUUGCUGAUAAAAGAACUGGCUGUUUUAUGGUUUUAGGUUUAUAGCAGACAUAAUGCCAUAAGAUAUGGGAAGUGACAUGUCACAUUUAGAAAAACUCAGAAAGGAAGUGGCAAACUCAGGAAAGAAUUAAAAUUUGUAGUGUUAAAAAUAACCCAAGAGCAAACCAACGGAACUGAUAGUUCAUUAAGAGAAAUAAGCAAAAAAAAAAUUAGGAAGAUAGUAAAAGGCAUGUAGAGUGGCCAGAAUAAUGGGCUCUGGGAGAUAUCCACAUGCGAAUCCCCAGCACUUCUGUGUGUUUUCUCAUCUAGCAAAACAGACAUUGCAGGUGUGAUUAAAUUAAGGCUCUCAAGACAUCCUGGACCAUGUGGAUGAGUUUAAUCUAAUCACACAGGUCCUUAGAAGUGGAGAAUUUUUCCUGGCUGUGGUGAGAAAGAGAUGCAAAUACAGCAGAAGCGAAAAGUAAACAGAAGCCCUGGGAGGACAGGUGUACAGAAGGGCUAGGAGGAAACCUGUUCCUACUAGAACAGAGUGAUAGGAUGGUGCUAGAGAGAGUCUAAAAUAAUACCUACCCGAUAUGCUGAUAUGCUUGGCCAUUUGGAAAUAGCAAUUAGUUUUGUUUUGCUUUUUUAACAUAAUUCUUUUGGUGAGCCUAAGAAGAAAUGAUAGAAGACACCUAAAUUCUUAACUUUAGGAAAAGCAAACACUGUACAAGAAAGAAAUAAGAAAUAGAAUUGUGGUAUACAACUCACCUCGCAGGAGAAAGUACUCAUAUUUUCAUACAUGGUAAAUUGAUAUUGUUUGAGUUCUUAUUGCAUGGCGGGAGAGAGGAAAAUUUGGGAAGAUGAUUAGAUAAGCCAUUGUCUUUAUCCUCCAUUACUUGAUGAUCACCGAGAAUAUCUCAAAGUGAUAGAGAGAUGGAAGUAUAAACACAGUUAGAAUGAGGGAAAUAAGUAUCUGUAGAAACAGCAAAAAGAGUUGAAAGAGGCUGCUUCUGGGAACAGUAAGAUAUGGCUGGGAACUAUUCGUGAAUCACUUGGGAAAUAAUUUAAAAUAACUUUAAAAGGAUAAUAAAAGAAGUGAAAUUUUUUAUUAGACACAAAAUAUGCUCUACUUUAAGGUUUUCAUUUUACUUUAAAAAUAUUUCUUCAUUAAGUGAAACUAUUGUAACACAUGCAAUAAAUGCUAUACUUUUUUAAUUUGCUAACUUCUUGUUUAGUAUAUAUUUUAUAGUAAAUUUCAUGUGGCAGACACCUCCAAAUGUUAUUUAAAGAAACAAAGUAUUAUUCUGACUGAUAAUCAGUCAUUUGAUGCAGCUUGAAAGAUUUUAAUUUGGGGGUUUAACAUUUUUCUAUAUACUUCUGUUCUACUUUAGCUAAGAGUUCUAUGCCUGAUUUUCAGUAUUGUGCCCAGUAUUCUAGAACAGCUAAGAUGUGUGAAUUUAGUUAGAUUGACAAGAAACCAGAAGAUGAAGUUUUGUAUUUCUAGAUUUUAAUUUCUUUAAUUGUAUUUCUGUUUAUAAAAGUAGCAUAUGGUCAUUAUAAAA